AGAGCGAGGAUGAACGUUUCAAAGUUGUCUGGGUUUAAUAAAACCACUCAAAAACUAAGUGUGGGUUUUCAAUGUGGGCUCAAUGGGUUCUGAGUUU
ensembl:snoRNA snoRNA:Or-CD15 snoRNA:Orphan C/D box 15